UGGGGAAUCUUGCACAAUGGACGAAAGUCUGAUGCAGCAACGCCGCGUGGGGGAUGAAGCUUCUCGGAGUGUAAACCCCUUUCGACCCGGAAGAAAGCCCGCAAGGGUUUGACGGUACGGGUAUAAGAAGCCCCGGCUAACUACGUGCCAGCAGCCGCGGUAAAACGUAGGGGGCCAGCGUUGCUCGGAAUUACUGGGCGUAAAGGGUCCGUAGGCGGUGUGGCAAGUCGGUAGUGAAAUCUCUGGGCUUAACUCAGAGGCUGCUGCCGAAACUGCUGUGCUAGAGUGCGAGAGAGGCGAGUGGAAUUGCGGGUGUAGCGGUGAAAUGCGUAGAUAUCCGCAGGAACAUCCGAGGCGAAAGCGGCUCGCUGGAUCGCAACUGACGCUGAGGGACGAAAGCUAGGGGAGCAAACAGGAUUAGAUACCCUGGUAGUCCACGCUGUAAACGAUGGAUGCUAGCCGUUGGGGAGCUUGCUCUUCAGUGGCGCAGCUAACGCUUUAAGCAUCCCGCCUGGGGAGUACGGUCGCAAGA
rnacentral:rRNA from 1 species